GAUGAACGCUGGCGGCGUGCCUAAUACAUGCAAGUCGAGCGAACGGACGAGAAGCUUGCUUCUCUGAUGUUAGCGGCGGACGGGUGAGUAACACGUGGAUAACCUACCUAUAAGACUGGGAUAACUUCGGGAAACCGGAGCUAAUACCGGAUAAUAUUUUGAACCGCAUGGUUCAAAAGUGAAAGACGGUCUUGCUGUCACUUAUAGAUGGAUCCGCGCUGCAUUAGCUAGUUGGUAAGGUAACGGCUUACCAAGGCAACGAUGCAUAGCCGACCUGAGAGGCUGAUCAGUCACACUGGAACUGAGACACGGUCCAGACCCCUACGGGGGGGACCCGUGGGGAAUAUUGGACAAUGGGCGAAAGCCUUAUCCAGCCAUGCCGGGUGUGUGAAGAAGGUCUUCGGAUUUUAGAGCACUUUAAGUUGGGAGGAAGGGCAGUAAGUUAAUCCCUUGCUGUUUUGACGUUACCCACAGAAUAAGCACCGGCUAACUUCGUG
rnacentral:rRNA from 1 species